rnacentral:piRNA from 1 species
UGAGACUUGUAAUUGUUCACUGGCUAGC